GGCAAUCUAGACUGCGUCGAGGAAGGGGGCGGGCGAGUAUGGUUUUAGUUGCCACUCCUUAGGCCUGCCAGGGAGCACAAUUUCUGAGUUUCAUAGAUAUUUUCAAAGCGAUAUGAACCGUUCGCCAGCUGCACCUUAAGUGGCCCCAGUGAUCCCUAGUGGGCGCUUGAAACUUUUGCUAGACGCUUUGGCAGUUCGUAAAGAAACCGUGUGCGCGGUAGCCAAGCCACAGCCUUGGAGAGCCCGAUUACUGUAUGAGAGAGCGGCUUUUCCCGGGAAAUUAGGUUAGGGUUAAAGGGAUGAGCCGCAACCUUUUUUGUCCUGUGUCUAUAUCUGUCCUGGGCUCAGCCUACUUCCACCCGGCCUCACUGUAAGGCGGUCAGGAGCGGCUGGAGGCUGCAUCUGGCAGUCUAGCUUGUGCUCCGUCCAUCCCGCGCACUUUGCACCCACAGGCAAGGUGGUGAGAGGAGUAAGUUCAUUGCACCAAAAAGGCCCAUCUACACUGAAGAACUUUAGGGGAAUUUUGACUCACAAAUUCAAUGACUUUACAUUAGGAUGAGAAAUAUUUCAGGGAGUGCACAAUUAAUGUUCGUGUCAAUUGUGAAACAAUUUUCGCAAAAAUUUUAUUCGCCUUGAAGCAGCUAGCAAAAUUAUUUGUAAAAUGAAGUCUCAAAAACUUUGUUCCAGACAUACUUUGCUAUUUAAUUAUAUGAGAAGUGCCUGAGUGUGUUGCUUUUCUAUUGUUCUGUAACAAAUCACUACAAAUUAAUGGUUUAAAAUAUCACCCAUUUGUUAUCGUAGUCGUGUAGGUCCGGAGUUGGUAUGGUAUAGCCGAGUGCUCUGCUUAAGGGUCUCACACUGUUGAAGUAAAGGCGUCUGCAAGUGGAAUCUCAUUGAAGAUCUGGGUUUCUCUUCCAAGCCCCUGGCUGUUAGCAGAAUUAAUGUCCUUGUGUUUCUUAGUCUGAGGUUCUCCUUGUUUUGCUAGUUGUUGGCCAGAGGCUUUUGCCAAAUAGCUCUUCUAUAAGCUUUCUCAUACAGUCUCUGACUUCAUGGAGAUCCCUUUUAAGGAUUCAUCUGUGUGUUUAAAUCACCAACUUUUCACUCUUUCCACCAGGAACUUAGAGUCAGAAUUCUGGCAUAAGACUGGUAGAGCAUGAUGCCCACCUUACUACGAAUAAAAAUUGUCUGUCUUUCUAAGGAAUUUUAUAUUAAUACUCAGCACUUCAGGAAAAUUUCAUGGAAGAGCCCAAGACAUUUUGAAAUUGGAGAACCGAUUGGAUGAAUGAGUUUGAAUUCCAGAAAAAGAAAUGGGAACAACCAGUUAGCAUUCUUCAUGACACUAAGGAAUCUUCCUUCCAAAUUAUGUGGAAGGU